CAGGUGAUUAUAUAAAAUUGAUGAAGUCAAUUUUUGAUUUUGAAUCUAUCAAGAAACUGUUGUCCUCUCCUAAGUUCACUUUCUGUUAUGAUGCACUUCAUGGGGUUGUUGGAGCAUAUGUAAAGAGUAUUUUUGUGGAUGAACUUGGAGCACAAAAAAGCUCUUUACUGAACUGUACACCUAAUGUCUUAUUCUCUUGUUGAUUAUUUCCAAGUAUGGCUUUCAAUAUUCUGAGUGCUGGUGGUGAUUUGUCUUUGAUUUGUGGAUGACUUAUUGGAUAUAGGAAGACUUUGGAGGAGGACACCCAGACCCCAAUUUGACUUAUGCGAAAGAGUUGGUUGCUCGAUUGGGAUUGGGCAAAUCAGAACCACAAGAUGAGCCCCCAGGGUUUCGUGCUGCUGCUGAUGGUGAUGCAGAUCGCAACAUGAUACUUGGUAAAAGGUAGUGUUACCCUUAUUUAUGAUGAAUUUGAAUAUUUUCUUACCUUUU